UACGGGGGGGGCAAGCGUUGUUCGGAAUUACUGGGCGUAAAGGGUGCGUAGGUGGCGCCGUAAGUCAGGUGUGAAAUUUCGGAGCUUAACUCCGAAACUGCAUUUGAUACUGCGGUGCUUGAGGACUGGAGAGGAGACUGGAAUUUACGGUGUAGCAGUGAAAUGCGUAGAGAUCGUAAGGAAGACCAGUGGCGAAGGCGGGUCUCUGGACAGUUCCUGACACUGAGGCACGAAGGCCAGGGGAGCAAACGGG
rnacentral:rRNA from 1 species